ACCCCAUCCCAGGUUGGGGAAGAAUCCUUGAGCCAGAGCUCGGCGCCACAUCCAAAGCCUCAGGACAGGAGCUGUGCCUGGAGUGGAGACUUCUGGAGCUGUGAUGAAAACAAGAUUAAAGAAGAAAUCAUUGGCAAUGAAGUGCUGAAAGAACUGAACUGCUGACUUUUUUCAGUGGAUACUAAGCUGUGAGCACAGCCAAGUUCAUCCAUGGAAUCUGUACCAAAAAUAUUGUGCAGCUUUCACUGAGGAGCAGAGCACCUCUGCCUUUGGAAGCAGAAUUUUAGAGUUGGGUCAG